UUGACAGUUCUGAAGACUGAAAUUCUUAGUUUAUCCACAGAACAGAUACAGUUUGCAUAGCAGUGGUGUAAACUUCCCAAUACUGUUCCACCAAGGAGCCCAACCCUUCUAUGGACCUGGUAUGGAUGGAGCAACUCUAGGAAUGAGUUGCAAUCUACUCAUGCUCUCUGAUUAGUCAGUCCCUGGCCUCU
ensembl:misc_RNA